UUUGUCGAAAUUAGGAUUCCGAAACACGUUUUUCUACGGUGGGUUCAUUCGACAGCGAUUUACUUUCUUAGAAGUUGCGAGACGGUAUGUUUUUGAUUGCAAUUAUUGGAAGAUGACAGAUCCAUCUUUAAAAUGAUACCAGGUUCGGAAAAAUUGAUACGUCGGAAAGGCAAGAAAAAUGCUGUGAAAGUUGUCAGUUUUAUAAUGGGACCCUAUGGGAAUCGGAAUUAGUGUAAUAUAACCUUUAAAAAGCACAUUUACUGCAAUGUCAAGGUCACAUGGAUUCGUCUGCAAGCGAGACAAGUAGAAAAUGAAUUUUAAUGAAUGUUUUGAUGAUUUGGGUGCUAAAAUAGAUGAGAGGUGUCAAUAUUUUGGUCCAAAUGGAUGUUUUAGGUGGUUUUGGACUGUUCCGGAUGGGUGGGGGACCUGGUACGGACAAGUAAGGGAAACAUUUCCAACAAAUCUUAAAUGUAAAUAUUAUUAUGUCCAUAGAUUGAAGUUUCAGGUGGAGAGCAAGAUGAAAAAUAUGCAAAAUUACAUGCAUGCAACCCAUUUAUGCCAUUUUUCUCUUUGUUUGUAGGCCUGACCGUUUGUCCUUGAGCCGUAGAUGGUCAACAAUCCGCUAGCUGUCUUGCUCUGACUGGUGCACUGGACAUGAUUUCAAUAGUCAGCCAGACCAUGAUUGAGCUUAAGGGUUGUGCUGCGGAUGCAGCCUGUGCAGUUCGGGGAGAAAGUCACUGUCUCGGGCAAUGCGGUCUGGUAUCAGGUCUGGAUGAUCCUUGCCUGACUGCGGGUUUGUGUACACCUCAAUCCGACUCUGUGUCCUGAACAGAGGCCGCAGUGGUGCAGCGCUUGUGGACGAUCCAUCAACAUCCUGAAAGGUCAACACUACACCAAGCUGGGAAAAUUGAUCCUGAUAGUCAUCCCCAGGCCUGACCGUUUGUCCUUGAGCCGUAGAUGGUCAACAAUCCGCUAGCUGUCUUGCUCUGACUGGUGAACUGGACAUGAUUUCAAUAGUCAGCCAGACCAUGAUUGAGCUUAAGGGUUGUGCUGCGGAUGCAGCCUGUGCAGUUCGGGGAGAAAGUCACUGUCUCGGGCAAUGCGGUCUGGUAUCAGGUCUGGAUGAUCCUUGCCUGACUGCGGGUUUGUGUACACCUCAAUCCGACUCUGUGUCCUGAACAGAGGCCGCAGUGGUGCAGCGCUUGUGGACGAUCCAUCAACAUCCUGAAAGGUCAACACUACACCAAGCUGGGAAAAUUGAUCCUGAUAGUCAUCCCCAGGCCUGACCGUUUGUCCUUGAGCCGUAGAUGGUCAACAAUCCGCUAGCUGUCUUGCUCUGACUGGUGCACUGGACAUGAUUUCAAUAGUCAGCCAGACCAUGAUUGAGCUUAAGGGUUGUGCUGCGGAUGCAGCCUGUGCAGUUCGGGGAGAAAGUCACUGUCUCGGGCAAUGCGGUCUGGUAUCAGGUCUGGAUGAUCCUUGCCUGACUGCGGGUUUGUGUACACCUCAAUCCGACUCUGUGUCCUGAACAGAGGCCGCAGUGGUGCAGCGCUUGUGGACGAUCCAUCAACAUCCUGAAAGGUCAACACUACACCAAGCUGGGAAAAUUGAUCCUGAUAGUCAUCCCCAGGUAGUGGAAUGAAUGUUCACUGAACUACAGAGGAAUCACACCCAAAUGACUUUCCUGCCACGACAUUAGUGUGGCCACUCGCGUAGGAAUUCCUUAGCAAACAUGCUCUUUUGCAUGGUGACUGUGGACAUUUUUGCAAAACUUACGCUUUCAACACUGAAUUUUAAAGAGAAUACUUAAUAAAAUGUCGCUAACAGGACUUAUUUAUAUGAGAGAGACUAUCUGGAUGCGCAUUAAGUGUCACUUUGUGUCGUAAGCUGUUGAAGGAGCGAUUUGCGCCUUUUUAAGUGUUAAUUUUGGGUAGCCGGCUUGUAUCGGCUUGAAAGCUGAAAAUUAUGCCUCUCAUCAUAAUAGCAUUAAUUUUUGUAAUUGCAAUGUGUAUGUUUAGAUUGUAAGUGAAGCUUUUAAUAAUAAUUUUCAUAAAAAACAUGAUUUUAUAUGCUG